UACGCAGGGUGCGAGCGUUGUCCGGAAUUAUUGGGCGUAAAGGGCUCGUAGGCGGUUUGUCGCGUCGGGAGUGAAAACCUUGGGCUUAACUCAGGGCUUGCUUUCGAUACGGGCAGACUAGAGGUAUGCAGGGGAGAACGGAAUUCCUGGUGUAGCGGUGAAAUGCGCAGAUAUCAGGAGGAACACCGGUGGCGAAGGCGGUUCUCUGGGCAUGAUCUGACGCUGAGGAGCGAAAGUGUGGGGAGCGAACAGG
rnacentral:rRNA from 1 species